CUCAUUUUGUAUAUAUAUGANGUUAUGAUGCGAGUUACUCUNUGUAGUAUUGCUUGUACAUACUUGUAUGUUUAUUUGCAAGAUGUUGUCGGCGUGCACUUCUCCCCUAGUAGAACGUCGCGACCCGUUGGGUGUUGGUCUACGACCCGAGUGGAAGACUUUAAUAUUUUNAUAAUAUUAAAGACCCUUGGUGUUUUCUGACC
rnacentral:rRNA from 1 species